UGAAAAUUACCUCUUGUGUGUAUUGUGACAUGGUAUCAAAGCAGGACACACGGUCCUGGUUCCUCUUCUCCAAGUUACCUAUAGCCCGGUUCUUGUGAACAUUUUCACAAACACAUGGAAGACCCCAACUCCAUCACCGAUCCCAGCCAAUCUUCACCUAAUUCUGAUGCUAUACUUACAGGUAUUUCCACCAAAAUUUCUGAAGCCUUAACUAAGACACACAUAUCAGCCCCACUCAUUGAAAAUUCACCCCAGAUUGGUAUCAAACUGAAUGAUACAAACUAUGGCCUAUGGUCCCAGGUUAUGGAAAUGUAUAUUUCCGGGAAAGAUAAACUGGGUUACAUUAAUGGAGAUACACCUCCACCCCUACCAACUGAUCCCUCCUUCCGAAAAUGGCGAACUGAUAAUGCCAUUGUCAAGCGAUGGAUUAUCAAUUCGUUGGACCCUGUUCUGAUUGGCAAUUUCAUUCGUUUCCAUACUGCUAAGGAAGUUUGGGAUGCUAUUGCCACUACAUACUUUGAUGGGAAUGAUAAAUCCCAAGUCCAUGAUCUUCGACGAAGGGUGAGUCGCCUAAGACAAGCAGGCGGAUCUGUGGAGAAAUAUUACACUGAACUGCAGGGGUUGUGGUGCGAAAUUGACUUCCGUCGCCCAAAUCCAAUGAAGUGUGCUGCUGACAUCCGCCACUUCAAUAAUUUGACCCAGGAAGACAGAGUUUACACCUUCCUUGAUGGGCUCGAUGAACGUCUCGAUAGCAUCCGUAGUGGAGUUUUGCAUAUGGACCCGUUUCCUACCGUUGAGCAGGCGUAUGCGUACGUCCGUCAUGAGGCACUGCGACAAGUAGUCAUGGUUUCUACAGACUCCGAUAAUGGUCUUCCUAGAGCGAUCUUGGCAACCAAAGGCGUGAAGAUGGGAUCAUUUGCUGUUGCUGGAAUAAAUUCUUUAAAGGGAGACCCAAAUAAAAGUGGUGGAGGCCCAAAUAAAAGUGGGCCAAAUAAGUUAAAGGGUUUGGAUGAGGAAAUUAAGUGUUCAUACUGUGGAAAUAACAAGCACGCACGAGAAAACUGCUUUAAAC
rnacentral:lncRNA from 1 species